GUAUGUGAACUGCGGAAGGAUCAUUACCGAGUGUAGGGUUCCUAGCGAGCCCAACCUCCCACCCGUGUUUACUGUACCUUAGUUGCUUCGGCGGGCCCGCCAUUCAUGGCCGCCGGGGGCUCUCAGCCCCGGGCCCGCGCCCGCCGGAGACACCACGAACUCUGUCUGAUCUAGUGAAGUCUGAGUUGAUUGUAUCGCAAUCAGUUAAAACUUUCAACAAUGGAUCUCUUGGUUCCGGCAUCGAUGAAGAACGCAGCGAAAUGCGAUAACUAGUGUGAAUUGCAGAAUUCCGUGAAUCAUCGAGUCUUUGAACGCACAUUGCGCCCCCUGGUAUUCCGGGGGGCAUGCCUGUCCGAGCGUCAUUGCUGCCCAUCAAGCACGGCUUGUGUGUUGGGUCGUCGUCCCCUCUCCGGGGGGGACGGGCCCCAAAGGCAGCGGCGGCACCGCGUCCGAUCCUCGAGCGUAUGGGGCUUUGUCACCCGCUCUGUAGGCCCGGCCGGCGCUUGCCGAACGCAAAUCAAUCUUUUUCCAGGUUGACCUCGAUCAGUAGGAUACCCGCUG
rnacentral:rRNA from 1 species